UUCCUUUUUGGCAAUAUAUUAUCUCUUUAUACCUAAUAUUUAAAUAAUUUUUACCAAUCCACUUUGUUUUCAAAAGUAAUGAGAUAUUUGUAAUGGGACAGAGAGAGAGUACAAUUUUAGUUGCCCAAGUAAAUUUUACAUACGAUAAUUAUCAAAAUAUCUCGCACCACUUUUCCUCUUCACGCACAUUUCUCAUAAGCCAUCGCACCAAGCUUUUCUAUCUACUCUUCUUCGCCGAGAACGAAGGCAUCAUCUCGCUGGACUCAGUUGACGAAGCAACGACUUGGAGAGCCAUUCGUGAACUUGGCGCCCCACAGCCUCAUAUCUCUCUAUCUCAAGCUUGCGGCGCUACUGUUGUGACAGUGGUAGCUUGUUAAAAAUGGGAGUAUGGGAUGGCGAUGAUUUGUAAGGGAAAAAGAUAAAAGAAUAGAAUAGAAGAGGGACUGCAGAGAGGGAUACUAAGGUGAUGGUGUCGCGACGGUGGCUGGCGGCAACCCUCGUUGGACAACAAGUGAUGGUGUCGCGGUGGUGGCUGGAAGCAACGUUCGCCGGAUGACAAGAGCAGUGUUGCAAAUUGGGAAGGGUUUUCUCUUAAUUCAAUUUAAAAAUUAGUUAAACAUGUGAGCCUUCUUCCUUUUCUUCCUAGUUUAACUUUUCUAAAUACUUAUUCCUAAAAGAAACGAGUCAUUAAUAUUGGGACGGAGUGAGUAAAUAUUUCAACACCAUCUUAUUUUUUCAUGAUUUUGUAAGCAACAAUCACUUUAUAAAAAUAACUCUAUUAUGAUUUGUUAUUAUUAAUAUAUAAUCUUUCAACUUCAUCUUU